rnacentral:rRNA from 1 species
UGGGGAAUCUUGCACAAUGGGGGCAACCCUGAUGCAGCGACGCCGCGUGAGCGAUGAAGCCCUUCGGGGCGUAAAGCUCUUUCGACCGGAACGAUAAUGACGGUACCGGGAGAAGAAGCUGCGGCUAACUACGUGCCAGCAGCCGCGGUAAUACGUAGGCAGCAAGCGUUGUUCGGAGUUACUGGGCGUAAAGAGUGCGUAGGCGGUUUUCUAAGUUCGGUGUGAAAUCUCCCGGCUUAACUGGGAGGGUGCGCCGAAGACUGGGAAGCUGGAGCGUGGGAAAGGCGGGCUGAAUUCCUGGUGUAGCGGUGAAAGGCGUAGAUAUCAGGAGGAACACCGGCGGUGUAGACGGCUUGCUAGACCAUAACUGACGCUGAGGCACGAAAGCGUGGGUAGCAAACA